UAAAAGGCAAUGUACACAAGAAGGGACCUCCUGCGUGCACCAAAAACUAAUCAAAAGAGUUAGGCUGUAUAGCUAGUAGUCCUACUUUUUGUUAUGUUUGAGCCAAAUGUGGAAAGCUUAUGUUGUAUUGUAUAUGUCUGCACAUGGUGCUACAUUCUGUGUAAUAAAUUGCCAACAAUUUAGUGCUUAUGCAAUUGUUUGGCAGGCCACUUCAAACUCUUCUAAUCUCUCUUUGGAUGAGCUUAGCAUGGGUAAAAGUACCACUAUAUUCAACAUUUCUUUUCUCAUCAACUUAACACUAUCUUGAAUAACCCACGAGAGGUUAUAGUAAUUUGAAAUUUUU
rnacentral:lncRNA from 1 species